CUUGUUCUUUAAAUGAGGACUCGUAUCAAUGGCACCACGAGGACUUUACUGUCUCCUUUUUCUAAUCAGUGAAACUAAUCUUCCCGUGAAGAAGCGGGAAUAAAUAGAUAAGACGAGAAGACCCCAUGGAGCUUUAAGCUUACUGCACCUCUAUUUUCUAUAACCUCUUAUUAAACGGAAUACUGCUUACUUAGCUUUAGGUUGGGGUGACCGCGGAGUAUAACAUAACCUCCAUGAUGAACAAAACUAUUUUCUUAUCUAAGAACAACAGUUCUAAGAAUUAGUAUUCUAACAUAAAAUGAUCCGAUAAUCGAUCAACGGACUAAGUUACCCUGGGGAUAACAGCGCAAUCCAUUUCAAGAGCCCCUAUCGACAAAUGGGUUUACGACCUCGAUGUUGGAUCAGGAUAUCCUAGUGGUGCAGCAGCUACUGAAGGUUCGUUUGUUCAACGAUUAAAAUCCU
rnacentral:rRNA from 1 species